rnacentral:rRNA from 1 species
CCUGGUAGUGGGGGAUAACGUUCGGAAACGGACGCUAAUACCGCAUACGUCCUACGGGAGAAAGCAGGGGACCUUCGGGCCUUGCGCUAUCAGAUGAGCCUAGGUCGGAUUAGCUAGUUGGUGAGGUAAUGGCUCACCAAGGCGACGAUCCGUAACUGGUCUGAGAGGAUGAUCAGUCACACUGGAAGUGAGACACGGUCCAGACUCCUGCGGGAGGCAGCAGUGGGGAAUAGUGGACAAUGGGCGAAAGCCUGA